CAAGAAAGGUUUUUUUCUCCUAGUGGACACAUGGACAGAGGUUUUUGCAGUGUGCAGAGUCCUCUGUGGGUCUUCUGUGGUUACCCUUGGGUUCUUUCUCACCUCUUUCAGGAUUGUCCGUUGUGUUCUUGGACUGAUCUCAUCAGGACGCCCACUCCUGGGGAGAGUAGCUGCAGUCCUGGAUUCUCUCCAUUUGUAGAGAAUUUCUGUAACCAUACAUUGAUGUACACCCGGGUCUUUAGCUUUUGUAGCCUUUCUCCAGCCUCAUGCAUCCCUAUGACAUGUCUUCUGAAGGCUGUUUGCAUCAAGAGAUGCUUCACACCGACCUCGCAGUGGAACUGUACGUCCU